ACGGGACCUUCGGGUCAAGUGGCGAACGGGUGAGUAACACGUAAAUAAUCUAACUAACAGACGAGGAUAACUUUGGGAAACUGAAGCUAAAAGUGGAUAGGAUAUAAUAACGCAUGUUAUAAUAUUUAAAAGUGCUAAGGCACUACUGAUAGAAGAGUUUGCGGAGCAUUAGCUAGUUGGUAAGGUAAAAGCUAACCAAGGCAAUGAUGCAUAGCUGGACUGAGAGGUUGAGCAGCCACACUGGGACUGAGACACGGCCCAGACUCCUACGGGAGGCAGCAGUAGGGAAUAUUCGGCAAUGGGGGAAACCCUGACCGAGCGACGCCGCGUGAGCGAAGAAGUAUUUCGGUAUGUAAAGCUCUGUUGUUAGGGAAGAAGAUUAUAUAUAGAGAAUGAUAUAUAAGAAGACGGUACCUAACUAGAAAGCCACGGCUAACUACGUGCCAGCAGCCGCGGUAAUACGUAGGUGGCAAGCGUUGUCCGGAAUUAUUGGGCGUAAAGAGUGCGGAGGCGGCACUAUAAGUCAGACGUAAAAUACCAUGGCUCAACCAUGACAAGCAUCUGAAACUGUAGAGCUAGAGUAUUAGAGAGGCAAGUGGAAUUCCUAGUGUAGCGGUGGAAUGCGUAGAUAUUAGGAGGAACACCAGUAGCGAAGGCGGCUUGCUGGCUAAAUACUGACGCUCAAGCACGAGAGCGUGGGGAGCAAACAGGGUUAGAUACCCUGGUAGUCCACGCCGUAAACGAUGAGUGCUAAGUGUCGGACAAAAGUUCGGUGCUGAAGUUAACGCAUUAAGCACUCCGCCUGGGGAGUACGACCGCAAGGUUGAAACUCAAAGGAAUUGACGGGAUCCCGCACAAGCGGUGGAGCAUGUGGUUUAAUUCGACGAUACGCGAAGAACCUUACCAAGUCUUGACAUACGAGGCAAAGCUAUAGAGAUAUAGUGGA
rnacentral:rRNA from 1 species